rnacentral:rRNA from 1 species
GGCGUGCUUAACACAUGCAAGUCGAGCGAAGCACUUUUAAGGAAGUUUUCGGAUGGAAUUAAAAGUGACUGAGCGGCGGACGGGUGAGUAACGCGUGGGUAACCUGCCUCAUACAGGGGGAUAACAGUUGGAAACGACUGCUAAUACCGCAUAAGCGCACAGUGUCACAUGACACCGUGUGAAAAACUCCGGUGGUAUGAGAUGGACCCGCGUCUGAUUAGGUAGUUGGUGAGGUAACGGCCCACCAAGCCGACGAUCAGUAGCCGACCUGAGAGGGUGACCGGCCACAUUGGGACUGAGACACGGCCCAAACUCCUACGGGAGGCAGCAGUGGGGAAUAUUGGACAAUGGGGGAAACCCUGAUCCAGCGACGCCGCGUGAGUGAAG